rnacentral:rRNA from 1 species
UACGAGGGGGGCGAGCGUUGUUCGGAAUUAUUGGGCGUAAAGGGUGCGUAGGCGGUUCGGUAAGUUUCGUGUGAAAUCUUCGGGCUCAACUCGAAGUCUGCACGAAAUACUGCCGGGCUUGAGUGUGGGAGAGGUGAGUGGAAUUUACGGUGUAGCAGUGAAAUGCGUAGAUAUCGUAAGGAAGACCAGUGGCGAAGGCGAAUCUCUGGACAGUUACUGACACUGAGGCACGAAGGCCAGGGGAGCAAACGGG